rnacentral:rRNA from 1 species
UACGUAGGGGGCAAGCGUUAUCCGGAUUUACUGGGUGUAAAGGGAGCGUAGACGGUUACGCAAGUCUGGAGUGAAAGGCGGGGGCCCAACCCCCGGACUGCUUUGGAAACUGUAUAACUGGAGUGCAGGAGAGGUAAGUGGAAUUCCUAGUGUAGCGGUGAAAUGCGUAGAUAUUAGGAGGAACACCAGUGGCGAAGGCGGCUUACUGGACUGUAACUGACGUUGAGGCUCGAAAGCGUGGGGAGCAAACA